rnacentral:lncRNA from 1 species
UUAGAAUUCCUGCAAACACGGGUUAGUUAUUUUACAUGAAGCAUGUACGUGACUCCUGGUUUCUGAGAAAACAUUUUUUUCUCUCUAUCCUACAGUGCUAGGCAAAGCACCCCAAAGCCUCUUGAUUUUAAACACAGAAAACUCCACUGCCGAAAUGUUUGCCCUAUCCCAGCGCUAAAGCCUUAGAAGCACCGACGAAUCUAGGCCAAGGAGUACAAGAUGGCAGUGAGAUACCACAAUGCAGGCAAGGAAGACGGGAUGGGCCCCAAUCGGGAAGCACGCGCCACCAGCUCUGGAGAGAACCGUCUGAGGAGACGCGGGGGAGAGUUUGGGUCACAGGAGCAGGAAGGAACUGGCAGGUGUCUGUCACCUUAUCAUCCCGGACACCAUGUUUACAUUGUAAUUGGCUUCUUUACAGAGAGGGAGGGACCAGGUUCCCAGUGUGAGUGAUGUUUAGAGGUUUUCUGAGAAGCACAAGGACUGGACUUUGACAGGAAGCAACGAGGCAAGAGGGAAGCUCGAGAACAGGUUUUGCUGAGGAUUCCCCCCAAGAAAAGUGCUCCCCGGGAGGCCGUUCCUGGCACCAAGACUGGCGGAGCCACCACACCCGUUAAAGGGAUCCACCUGGACAGCGAUCAGGCAAGCACCUCCAAGGAUCACGUAGGACCAGCAGAAGCAGCGUAAAGUAUUGGAACUUUGAAUCUGACAUCAGAAAGACCUGCACUCAGCCGGGCACGGUGGCUCACGAUUGUAAUCCCAGGCCGAGGCGGUGGAUCACUUGAGCGAGCUGAAAUUUACCAUAAUCCGGCUGAUGUUUAGACUGCACCCAUCGUUUUUUCCAUUCAUCUAUGAGUAAAGGAGAAAAAAAGAACGUAAAGACAAAAUGCAGCUAAUACUGACCAAGACUUACAGGAACGGUAAAGCCCUGUGAUGAAUGUCCUGUUUUUUCCUCAUUCAAAAGAUAGAGAAACAGAAGCUCAGAAUCUUGCCCAAAAGCCCAGUUAUGGAUUCUCACUCUGUUGCCCAGGCUGGAGUGCAGUGGUCCAAUUUCAGCUCACUGCAGCCUCUUCAGCAGAAUCUUGACCCUCUCUGAGAUUCAGUUUUUUCAUCUGUAGAAAUGGGGACCUAAGGUACAGAGUUUCUUCUGGGAGAAUUAAGUGAAACUGCAUGCAACACCAUGUUAGGCACACUAGAAGUGAUCAAUAAAUACUACUUGAGUAUUUGUGUGCAUAUGUAAUCUGUGCGUAUGUGUAUAUGUAUACAAAGAUAUACAUAGGUAAAGAGAUGUAAAUAUUUUUAGAUUUGAAGGUAAAAGUUGUGCUUUCUGGGCACCUAGUCCUUAGCCUCAGACAGAUUAGAUCCAUUAGAAAUGCUUAUUUAGAUAAAAAUAUGUAUUUGCUGCCUUUAUUCCACAUAAUCAGAUUGUAUUCUUCAAAAGAGAAUUUGCUAGAUACGUUAAAGCUUAUCUCUUCAGGUGCCAACAUGUUGUCUACAUUUUCAAUGAGAAAUUUUUCUAGACAUAAUAAAAGACCCUGACCUCUAAUAUAUAGAAUCCUAAACAAAAUUUGUACUUUCCCAGAAGUUUGAGACCAGCCUGGGCAAUAUGGCAAAACCUCGUCUCUACA